AUUGAACGCUGGCGGCAUGCCCUACACAUGCAAGUCGAACGGUAACAGGUCUUCGGAUGCUGACGAGUGGCGAACGGGUGAGUAAUACAUCGGAACGUGCCUAGUAGUGGGGGAUAACUACUCGAAAGAGUGGCUAAUACCGCAUGAGAUCUACGGAUGAAAGCAGGGGAUCGCAAGACCUUGUGCUACUAGAGCGGCCGAUGGCAGAUUAGGUAGUUGGUGGGAUAAAAGCUUACCAAGCCGACGAUCUGUAGCUGGUCUGAGAGGACGAUCAGCCACACUGGGACUGAGACACGGCCGACACUCCUACGGGAGGCAGCAGUGGGGAAUUUUGGACAAUGGGGGCAAGCCUGAUCCAGCAAUGCCGCGGGAAGGAUGAAGGAGUUCGGGUUGGAAACUGAUGUUGUACGGAGCGAAAAGACCUGGGUUAAUACCCUGGGGUCAUGACGGUACCGGAAGAAUAAGCACCGGCUAACUACGUG
rnacentral:rRNA from 1 species